rnacentral:misc_RNA from 1 species
UUAAGUUCAGCGGGUAUCCUACCUGAUUUGAGGUCAAAUGGUCAUGUAUUGUCCGAAUGAACAGACGGUUAGAAGCAGUGCAAACCCAUAUAAUUGCAGAUGUCCACGGCGUAGAUAAUUAUCACACCAAUAGACAGUCCACGCGGGGCACUGGCUAAUGCAUUUAAGGGGAGCUGACCAUCUGUGAAGAAGCCGGCAAA